GUUCCUGUAGUUGAAUUACAACGAUGUUUCUUCAAGUCAUUAGUCUCAGUUAAAGUCUGAGCAGGAAUU
rnacentral:tRNA from 1 species